rnacentral:rRNA from 1 species
GUUGAACGCUGGCGGCGUGCCUAAUACAUGCAAGUCGAGCGAACAGACGAGGAGCUUGCUCCUCUGACGUUAGCGGCGGACGGGUGAUUAACACGUGGAUAACCUACCUAUAAGACUGGGAUAACUUCGGGAAACCGGAGCUAAUACCGGAUAAUAUAUUGAACCGCAUGGUUCAAUAGUGAAAGCCGGUUUUGCUGUCACUUAUAGUUGGAUCCGCGCCGCAUUAGCUAGUUGGUAAGGUAACGGCUUACCAAGUCAACGAUGCGUAGCCGACCUGAGAGGGUGAUCGGCCACACUGGAACUGAGACACGGUCCAGACUCCUACGGGAGGCAGCAGUAGGGAAUCUUCCGCAAUGGGCGAAAGCCUGACGGAGCAACGCCGCGUGAGUGAUGAAGGUCUUCGGAUCGUAAAACUCUGUUAUUAGGGAAGAACAAAUGUGUAAGUAACUAUGCACGUCUUGACGGUACCUAAUCAGAAAGCCACGGCUAACUACGUG